UUUUUCUUUUUUUUUUUUUUGUCUAUUUCAGACAUUUCGAGGCCAGUGAACCACGUCUGUUGCGAGUCAGUAUGAAUUCAUUUAUCGAUCAUUUAGUCCUCGUCCAACAAACCAUCAACAAGUUCGGGCCGCCGUUAACUUGAGAGAGACGGAAAGAACAAGCGAUGCAUUCUCAGAGUUAAUCUCAGCCGUCUUUUAACGAAGAACUCUGACUGCACUUGGAAGCUACCAUCACUGCCGCUAACAUAAUGACAACUGCUAGACUCAUACUGAACACUUACUACUACUACUACUACUACUACUACUACUACUACUAAUAAUAAUUAUACUACUACUACUACAUCUAACAUCAUCACUGCUGGCACCACUGCUGUUACUGUUACUAUUAAUAAAAUUUGUGUAUUUCUGUCUGUUUGUCUGUCUGUCCGUCUGUCAAGAUAAGUAAAAUUAUACAUACAUGCAAACUGUGUGUUCACUAUACAUACAUACAUACAUACAUACAUAUACAUACAUAUAUAUAUAUAUAUAUAUAUAUAUAUAUAUAUAUAUAUAUAUGCAUGCAAUAAUGUAUCAUACACACACACAUAUACAUAAGUGUAUAUAUAUAUAUAUAUAUAUAUAUAUAUAUAUAUAUAUAUGUAUGUUUGUGUAUGCGUGUGUGAUGAAAGCUAGUAUGCCCAUCUCUUCUAAAUGUCUAAUAAACAUGUACUCUAUUGGGUAAUUCUUCAAUUUAGCGUUACUUUUAUAUAUUAACAAAAACAAACAUUAAUAUCUGUAUGUAUAUUUAUAUAUACAUGUGUAUAUAUAUAUAUGUGUGUGUGUGUG
rnacentral:lncRNA from 1 species